rnacentral:rRNA from 1 species
GAGUUUGAUCGUGGCUCAGAUUGAACGCUGGCGGCAGGCCUAACACAUGCAAGUCGAGCGGUAGAGAGAAGCUUGCUUCUCUUGAGAGCGGCGGACGGGUGAGUAAUGCCUAGGAAUCUGCCUGGUAGUGGGGGAUAACGCUCGGAAACGGACGCUAAUACCGCAUACGUCCUACGGGAGAAAGCAGGGGACCUUCGGGCCUUGCGCUAUCAGAUGAGCCUAGGUCGGAUUAGCUAGUUGGUGAGGUAAUGGCUCACCAAGGCGACGAUCCGUAACUGGUCUGAGAGGAUGAUCAGUCACACUGGAACUGAGACACGGUCCAGACUCCUACGGGAGGCAGCAGUGGGGAAUAUUGGACAAUGGGCGAAAGCCUGAUCCAGCCAUGCCGCGUGUGUGAAGAAGGUCUUCGGAUUGUAAAGCACUUUAAGUUGGAGGAAGGGCAGUAAAUUAAUACUUUGCUGUUUUGACGUUACCGACAGAAUAAGCACCGGCUAACUCUGUGCCAGCA